GAACUGUUGGUUAGAACUGGCGGUGGUUCAGUUCAAGCUGCUGAGCUCUGUUCAAUUGUCUUGCUUGUAAAGCAGAAUCUGUUUCAGGAAGCCAUUCAGGAGACACGCAACAAACCAUAUAACUCUAUGGAAGAAAACAUAUACUCUAUAUGGGAUGGAUCUGUGUGGCUAACCCCUCUGGAACUGGCCUGGACUCCAGAAGGUGGGGUGUGACUCUUCCUCCAGAAGAAGUAUGGGAAAGCUGAUGGGACAUAUUUUUGGAAGGCACAGAGCAAUUCCAGAGGGAAGGAAGAUCAGUGAAAAUUGCUUCUUCCCAUACCUACACUCACCGCAGAAGUAGGGAAGCGUCCGGCUGGAAGAACACAGCCUCUCACUGCACCCUCAGUUCAUUAGUUAAUGAUGUCAGCCAG